GUCCACGCCGUAACGAUGUGUGCUGGAUGUUGGUGACCUAGUCACUCAGUGUCGUAGCUAACGCGAUAAGCACACCGCCUGGGAGUACGGCCGCAAGGUUGAACUCAAAGGAAUUGACGGGGCCCGCACAAGCGGUGGAGCAUGUGGUUUAAUUCGAAGCAACGCGCAGAACCUUACCAGGACUUGACAUGGGGAGGCCGCGGCCAGAGAUGGUCGUUUCCCGCAAGGGACCUCCUGCACAGGUGCUGCAUGGCUGUCGU
rnacentral:rRNA from 1 species